GACGAACGCUGGCGGCGUGCCUAAUACAUGCAAGUAGAACGCACAGUUUAUACCGUAGCUUGCUACACCAUAGACUGUGAGUUGCGAACGGGUGAGUAACGCGUAGGUAACCUGCCUGGUAGCGGGGGAUAACUAUUGGAAACGAUAGCUAAUACCGCAUAAUAUUAAUUAUUGCAUGAUAAUUAAUUGAAAGGUGCAAUUGCACCACUACCAGAUGGACCUGCGUUGUAUUAGCUAGUAGGUGAGGUAACGGCUCACCUAGGCGACGAUACAUAGCCGACCUGAGAGGGUGAUCGGCCACACUGGGACUGAGACACGGCCCAGACUCCUACGGGAGGCAGCAGUAGGGAAUCUUCGGCAAUGGACGAAAGUCUGACCGAGCAACGCCGCGUGAGUGAAGAAGGUUUUCGGAUCGUAAAGCUCUGUUGUAAGAGAAGAACGGGUGUGAGAGUGGAAAGUUCACACUGUGACGGUAUCUUGCCAGAAAGGGACGGCUAACUACGUG
rnacentral:rRNA from 1 species